UGUGUCGAUACCGAGCUGAAUCUGUGCUUCUGAAGAGCAAAUGUUACACAGAGGAGGAAAGUGCAGCAGAGGUGACAGCUGGAUGGUCAGAACAUGGAAAUGUUAUUUUGAGAGCCGGCAAAGCUGCAGCUGAAUGGUGCAACAAUAAGAGUUUUAAUGGAAGAAUUAAACAUGUUAAACCUGUUGUGGACAAAGAGGGACAAACACAAACCCCGCAGGGCUCCAAGAACCAGGAAGAAGAUCGUGAUGAGGAUUCACCAACAGAACAUCACACCUUUGUUUAUCAGAAAGACGACUCCCUACAAGAACUGACAAUU